CAGCAGUUUUAGGGGUGCCCCAGGCCACACGUGGCAAUAAGGCUGAGAUCAUACCCAUUGAACCUGCCCGGGUAAUGCCGGCGAAGGGAACAAACGAUCCGCGAGCG
rnacentral:ncRNA from 1 species